rnacentral:ncRNA from 1 species
GCCCCGCAAGCAAUGUGACGUUGUAUAAUUUUGGCAAUAUGGGCCUUAAGUCUCUACUCUGAAACCGUAAAUUUCAGACCUACAAUGAAGCAGGAUAAUUGU